rnacentral:rRNA from 1 species
GCAGCGACGCCGCGUGAGGGAUGACGGCCUUCGGGUUGUAAACCUCUUUCAGCAGGGAAGAAGCCACAAGUGACGGUACCUGCAGAAGAAGCGCCGGCUAACUACGUGCCAGCAGCCGCGGUAAUACGUAGGGCGCAAGCGUUGUCCGGAAUUAUUGGGCGUAAAGAGCUCGUAGGCGGUUUGUCGCGUCUGCUGUGAAAGCCCGGGGCUUAACCCCGGGUGUGCAGUGGGUACGGGCAGACUAGAGUGCAGUAGGGGAGACUGGAAUUCCUGGUGUAGCGGUGGAAUGCGCAGAUAUCAGGAGGAACACCGAUGGCGAAGGCAGGUCUCUGGGCUGUUACUGACGCUGAGGAGCGAAAGCAUGGGGAGCGAACAGGAUUAGAUACCCUGGUAGUCCAUGCCGUAAACGUUGGGCACUAGGUGUGGGGGACAUUCCACGUUUUCCGCGCCGUAGCUAACGCAUUAAGUGCCCCGCCUGGGGAGUACGGCCGCAAGGCUAAAACUCAAAGGAAUUGACGGGGGCCCGCACAAGCGGCGGAGCAUGCGGAUUAAUUCGAUGCAACGCGAAGAACCUUACCAAGGCUUGACAUAUACCGGAUCGUUCCAGAGAUGGUUCUUCCCCUUUGGGGUCGGUAUACAGGUGGUGCAUGGUUGUCGUCAGCUCGUGUCGUGAGAUGUUGGGUUAAGUCCCGCAACGAGCGCAACCCUCGUUCCAUGUUGCCAGCACGUGAUGGUGGGGACUCAUGGGAGACUGCCGGGGUCAACUCGGAGGAAGGUGGGGAUGACGUCAAAUCAUCAUGCCCCUUAUGUCUUGGGCUUCACGCAUGCUACAAUGGCCGGUACAAAGGGUUGCGAUACUGUGAGGUGGAGCUAAUCCCAAAAAGCCGGUCUCAGUUCGGAUUGAGGUCUGCAACUCGACCUCAUGAAGUCGGAGUCGCUAGUAAUCGCAGAUCAGCAACGCUGCGGUGAAUACGUUCCCGGCCUUGUACACCACCGUCCGUCAAGUCACGAAAGUCGUAUCACCCGAAGCCGG